AUUGAACGCUGGCGGCAGGCCUAACACAUGCAAGUCGAGCGGAUGAAGGGAGCUUGCUCCUGGAUUCAGCGGCGGACGGGUGAGUAAUGCCUAGGAAUCUGCCUGGUAGUGGGGGAUAACGUCCGGAAACGGGCGCUAAUACCGCAUACGUCCUGAGGGAGAAAGUGGGGGAUCUUCGGACCUCACGCUAUCAGAUGAGCCUAGGUCGGAUUAGCUAGUUGGUGGGGUAAAGGCCUACCAAGGCGACGAUCCGUAACUGGUCUGAGAGGAUGAUCAGUCACCCUGGAACUUAGACACGGUCCAGACUCCUACGGGAGGCAGCAGUGGGGAAUAUUGGACAAUGGGCGAAGGCCUGAUCCAGCCAUGCCGCGUGUGUGAAGAAGGUCUUCGGAUUGUAAAGCUCUUUAAGUUGGGAGGAAGGGCAGUAAGUUAAUACCUUGCUGUUUUGACGUUACCAACAGAAUAAGCACCGGCUAACUUCGUG
rnacentral:rRNA from 1 species